GCAGGUGGUGCGGCGGUGGGAGGAGCGUCGGGAGGUGCAGAUGACCCUCUUCACCGAGGAGCUCGAGUGCCUUGAGAGGUCGGAAAAGCAGUAUCAGGUCCUGAUCGAAACAUUGCUUGCCAGCAGAAAUUCCUAGAACAUUUGUAUAUUUGUAAUUAUCGAAGUAACACAAAUGCACUGGCAUCUACUACGUCACUAUCAAUCGUGUAAUAGCAAUACCGUGAACCAGUAACUUAUUUUGUGCACUAUUCUGACAUUUGCUACCCUCAAAAAUGAAAAGGAACUGUCCACAAAAUACGGCUGUAAAAGACA